rnacentral:lncRNA from 1 species
UGAUGAAGUUGGUUCAGCAUGCAGCAAACUCGACAGCAUGCAGGCCAUCAAGACCAAGUCAUGCAGGAGCUGCUGGAACGAGCUGAACUAUUCCUAUUUUGUUCAACUUGUAACCUUAAGUUAAUGUAAUGUACUUUAGUUCAUUUAGAACUAUGUUAGGUUUAUGAUUGAUGUAUUUUGAUGACAAUUAAGCUGUUAAGUCAGCUUUGUUUAAGUGUGCAAGCUUAGUUUUUCAAGUUUCAAUGUAUUAGUGGUGGUAGGUGAUGAUUAGGUAUCAUUAUGCAGAUUUUGACAAGCAAAUUGCUUGGUUUAUGUAUUGGCAUUAUGCCAUUGUUCAAUGUAUGAAUAGAAUCAGUUUUUGUUCAUCAAUUUCCUCUCCAUUUUCUUAGCUUUUUCUUUCUUUCUUUAACUCGAAAUUGUUUGUUUGCUCAGCAAGUUUUAAGGCUUGCUCGACAAGAUACUUGCUGAGUCUGCUUGAUUCUGUUCUUGCAUCAACAAUUGGUAUCUAGAGCCUAUUUCUUAAGGGAUCUGUUACUCAAUUCCAUGGCUUCAUCAAGCUUUUCACCAGCUGCACCUCAAGUCUUCAAUGGAGAAGGCUAUCACAUAUGGGUGGUCAAAAUGAAGACCUACCUGCAGGCUUUCGAUCUGUGGGAGGUGGUCAACUUUGAUGUUGAACCAGAGCCACUUAGAGCUAAUCCAACAGUGGCUCAGAUCAGGCAGCAUGCUGAUGAAAGGACCAAGAGGCACAAAGCUAUGUCUUGCAUCCAAAACUCAGUGUCUGAUGUGAUUUUCACAAGGAUUAUGGCCUGUGAAUCACCAAAACAGGCCUGGGAUAAGUUGCAGGAAGAGUUUCAAGGGACUGAGAGGACAAGGCAGCAACAGUUGUUAAAUUUGAGGAGAGAUUUCGAGAAUUUGAAGAUGAAGGAAGAAGAAACUGUCAAGCAAUAUUCUGACAGGAUUAUGGCCGUGGUUAACAGCAUCAGGCUCCUUGGAGAGCAGUUCAAUGAAGCUAGGAUAGUGGAGAAGGUUAUAGCAACUCUGCCUGAGAGGUAUGAGGCAAAAAUCUCAUCUCUCGAGGACUCAAGGGAUCUGUCCACCAUCUCCCUGACAGAGUUGAUCAAUGCUCUAUAUGCUCAAGAGCAGAGGAGAGCAAGCAGACUGGAGGAGCACCAAGAAGGUGCCUUUCAGGCAAGAACAAAUACUGCCUACAAAGGCAAGAAGGCCUGGAGAGACAAGCCAAAGAAUGAUGCUGCAAGGAGAGAAGGUCAGACUUGCAAGCACUGUAGAAAGGCUGGUCAUUCAGAAGAAAAAUGCUGGUUCAAUCCAGAUGCUGUGUGUCAGCAUUGUAAGAAGAAGGGUCAUGUUGAGAGAGUCUGCAAGAGUAAGACCAAAUCGAGGCAGAAUCAGUUUCAACAGAUGAAAGCUGAGGCUCGAGUAGCUAAGGAGGACAGUGACCAAGAGGAGCAAGUCUUUGCUGUGUCAUGCUCAGCUGCUCAGGAAAAGUCCUCAUCUGGUUGGCUUCUAGACAGUGGAUGUACCAACCACAUGACACCUGAUGCUGCAAUCUUCAAGUCUUUAGACAGAAGCUGUAGAACUAAAGUCAAGAUAGGAAAUGGUCAUUUUAUUCAAGCUGAAGGCAAGGGUGAUGUGCUGAUAUGCACCCUUACAGGUACCAAAGUGAUUUCAAAUGUGCUGUUGGUGCCUGAAAUUGACAGAAACCUGCUCAGCAUAGCUCAGUUGCUGGAAAAAGGUUAUUCAGUUGUGUUUAAAGACCACCAUUGCCAAAUCAGUGAUCCAAGUGGAUCCAAACUGAUGGCAGUCCCUAUGGCUGACAAGAGCUUUGUGGUUGACUGGACAAAAAAGGCAGACAUUGCCUACACAGCCACUUCAGAUGAAUCCAAGCUGUGGCAUCAAAGAUUGGGACAUGCCAACUUCAGAUCGAUGGCUCGAAUGGUCAGAGAGGACCUGGCUGAAAAUUUCAUCAACUCAGUUGACCAUGAUGAUGUAUGUGAUGUAUGUCAGCUAGGAAAGCAGGCCAGACUCCCAUUUCCCUCGAAUCAAGCCUGGAGAGCCUCUGAAAAACUCCAACUGGUGCAUACUGAUGUGUGUGGCCCUAUGAAGACUGAGUCAUUAAGUGGAAACAGGUAUUUCAUACUGUUCAUUGAUGAUUUCUCGAGAUAUUGCUGGAUUUACUUUUUAAAACAGAAAUCUGAAGUGGCCUCAGUGUUUUGGAAGUUCAAGACUGCUUCUGAGACUGAAACAGGCUGCAAGCUGAAGACCAUAAGGUCUGAUAAUGGGACUGAGUACACCUCAGCUCAGUUCCAAGCCUUCUGUGAUAAGGCAGGCAUCAAACAUCAACUUACCAACACAUAUACACCUCAGCAGAAUGGGGUAAGUGAAAGGAAGAAUAGGAGUUUGAUGGAUAUGGCCAGGUGCUUGAUGAUUCAGAAAAAUCUGCCUAAAGCACUAUGGGCAGAAGCAGUUAACACUGCAACAUACAUUCAAAAUAGACUUCCAACCAAGGCUUUGGAUCAAAAGACCCCAUUCGAGGCCUGGUUUAGCUUCAAGCCAUCAUUGGCUCAUCUGAAGGUCUUUGGAUGCAUCAGUUAUGCACAUGUACCUGCUGUUAAAAGGGACAAAUUGUCUGAAAGGGCUCGACCUGGUGUUUUGGUGGGGUAUAGCACUGUUAAGAAGGGCUAUAGGAUUUUAGAUCCUACAACAAACAAAGUAUCAAUAAGCAGGGAUGUGGUAUUUGAUGAGAGGUCAUGUUGGAACUGGGAAAGACAUGAACCUGAAGAAGUUUCUGAAGAACUUGCAGUAGACCAAGCUGAGCCAGAUCAAAAUGUCCCUGAAAUGGAUAUUGAUGAUGAACCAGUCAGAGGAACAAGGUCAUUGGCUGAGGUUUAUGAAAGGGCUCAUGUAGCCAUAGCUGAACCAAGCAACUUUGAAGAGGCUGAGGCUCAACAAGGGUGGAAGCAGGCAAUGGCUGAGGAGAUCAGCAUGAUUGAGAAGAACCAGACCUGGGAAUUGGUUGAAAGGCCAGUCAAAAGGAAAGUGAUUGGGGUGAAAUGGGUGUACAAAGCCAAGCAGAAUGCUGAUGGUACCUUGAACAAGUUAAAAGCAAGGCUAGUGGUCAAGGGGUUCAGUCAGAGGUAUGGCUUGGACUACUUGGAGACCUUUGCACCAGUGGCCAGGCUCGACACCAUCAGACUGCUGAUUGCCUUAGCAGCACAGCUCGAAUGGAAGAUUCAUCAACUUGAUGUGAAAUCAGCCUUUCUGAAUGGUUUCUUAGAUGAAGACAUCUAUGUUGAACAACCACAAGGGUUUGAAAUAGCUGGCAGAGAGCAUAUGGUCUACAAAUUGAAGAAGGCCCUAUAUGGCUUAAAACAGGCUCCAAGGGCCUGGUACAGCAGAAUCGAUGGCUACCUGACUGAUCUGGGAUUCAAUCGAAGCAAGAGUGAGCCAACACUGUAUGUCAAGAAGCAAGGGACACAAACACAACUCAUUGUGUCCCUAUAUGUUGAUGACCUGCUGGUGACAGGAGGAGAUCAAGCAGUGCUGGUUAGUUUCAAGACCAAGAUGCAGGAGGUGUUUGAAAUGUCUGAUCUUGGGGAGAUGUCCUAUUUUCUUGGAAUGGAGGUGACUCAAGCACAGAAUGGGAUAUUUUUAAGUCAGAAGAGCUUUGCCACAAAGAUUCUGACCAAGUUCUCCAUGCAAAACAGCAAACCAACUAAAACACCUGUUGCUGUUGGAGAAAAACUAUCGAGCCAAGGAGAUUUUGAGAAGGUAUGUGAAACUACCUACAGGAGUCUAGUUGGUUGUUUGCUAUACUUGACUGCCACUAGACCAGACAUAAUGUAUGCUGUAGGAUUGCUCUCAAAGUUCUUGCAUUGUUGCAAUGAGAAGCAUUUCCAGACUGCCAAGAGAGUGCUCAGAUAUGUCAAAGGCACUUUGGACUAUGGCUUAAGGUACAGCAGAAAAGGAAAUCUAAAUCUAGUUGGGUACACUGAUAGUGACUGGGCUGGAUCGAUAGAUGACAUGAAAAGCACCUCAGGGUAUGCUUUUAGACUUGGUUCAGCCAUGUUCUGCUGGAGCUCGAAGAAGCAAAGUCUGGUGGCACAAUCUACGGCUGAAGCAGAGUAUGUGGCAGCAGCAAGUGCUGUCAACCAAGCCAUUUGGCUUAGGAAAAUCCUGGCUGAUUUGAAUAUGGAUCAAAUGGAAGCAACAGAGAUCUUCUGUGACAAUCAAUCUGCAGUUGCAAUUGCUAAAAAUCCAGUGUUCCAUGGUAGAACAAAACAUUUCAGCAUCAAGUUACAUGUUGUUCGAGAAAUGGAGCAAGCUCAGGAAGUAAAGCUGAUCCACUGUAAUUCAGAGGAUCAACUUGCUGACAUUUUAACCAAAGCUCUUAGUGUCACAAGGUUUGAAUAUCUAAGAAAGAUGCUAGGUGUUUGCUCCAUGCAAACCAAGGAGGAGUGAUGAAGUUGGUUCAGCAUGCAGCAAACUCGACAGCAUGCAGGCCAUCAAGACCAAGUCAUGCAGGAGCUGCUGGAACGAGCUGAACUAUUCCUAUUUUGUUCAACUUGUAACCUUAAGUUAAUGUAAUGUACUUUAGUUCAUUUAGAACUAUGUUAGGUUUAUGAUUGAUGUAUUUUGAUGACAAUUAAGCUGUUAAGUCAGCUUUGUUUAAGUGUGCAAGCUUAGUUUUUCAAGUUUCAAUGUAUUAGUGGUGGUAGGUGAUGAUUAGGUAUCAUUAUGCAGAUUUUGACAAGCAAAUUGCUUGGUUUAUGUAUUGGCAUUAUGCCAUUGUUCAAUGUAUGAAUAGAAUCAGUUUUUGUUCAUCAAUU